AAUGGUUUUUAGAAGUUUGGUUGAAUAAAAUUAAAUCUAAGGGAAGUUAAGUUUUAAGAAAAUAUUAAUAGAAGGAUAUCAGUAUGGAACGCGUUAAUCGUCGGGGAUUCAAUAAGUCACCGGUGUAUAAUUUAAGUACUAAAUAUCUUUCAGUAGAAAAUACUUAUUUAAAAGGAUUUAUCUCACACUCUCGUGAUUGUUGAUUUGGACUAUACCUUUAAGUCAGAAUGUACGCUCUCGCUGU
rnacentral:lncRNA from 1 species